rnacentral:tRNA from 2 species
CAUAGCUCAACGGUAGAGCAUUCGACUGUUAAUCGAAGGGUUACUGGUUCGAAUCCAGUUG